CAGUGUUAGGUCAUGCAUGAACAGCAUCAAACUGAACUUCAGCGUUAACAUACACCACUUGUGAUAGAUAGUCUUUGGAUAGUGCUGGACUAAAGAAGAGAGAAGAGGAAGCAGGCUUUCUUGGGACCAAAAUAAUGAGGAAGGGGGAGAGUGGGUACUUUAUAUUUUCUGCAUGAUUUUUCUGUAAACC